rnacentral:rRNA from 1 species
GACGAACGCUGGCGGCGUGCUUAACACAUGCAAGUCGAGCGGUAAGGCCCUUUCGGGGGUACACGAGCGGCGAGCGGGUGAGUAACACGUGGGUGACCUGCCCUCAGCUCUGGGAUAAGCCUGGGAAACCGGGUCUAAUACUGGAUAUGACUCCAUGACGCAUGUUGUGGGGUGGAAAGCCUUGUGCGGCUGAGGAUGGGCCCGCGGCCUAUCAGCUUGUUGGUGGGGUGAGGCCUACCAAGGCGACGACGGGUAGCCGGCCUGAGAGGGCGACCGGCCACACUGGGACUGAGACACGGCCCAGACUCCUACGGGAGGCAGCAGUGGGGAAUCUUGGACAAUGGGCGAAAGCCUGAUCCAGCAAUGCCGCGUGUGUGAAGAAGGCCUGCGGGUUGUAAAAGCACUUUCAGUGGGGAAGAAAGCUUGGUGUGAAUAGCGCCGAGUCUUGACGUUACCC